UCUUGUACUUUUUUCUAAUACUGGCAUGUCUCUGGCAGUAGAAAAUUUCGUGUUCCGCAUCAUCGAGAACACUGCAAACUUCACAGAUGUUGGAAUUUCUGGCUUUGAUCCUAUGUAAAAAGACGUGAUCAUAGUCGAUCUGGACUCUAAUCUUAACUGUUCUAAUUACUUCAUCGAAGCUGAGAGCAAUGUUCUUAUGACCGGGUAUCCAGUGCAAAAUAAAGUUGCUAGUGAAGGAAUUGUCUAUAUUGAGGUGUAUUUCGUCUGUUAAGUAUGAAUUUGAUUCAUUGCUUUUCAGAGCCUUUAAGGCCCCUUGACUAUCACAGAGAAUAACAGUUUUAUUAUAUCUUUUUUUACUUGAUAUCUUUACUGCUGUUAGUAUUCCUACAAGUUCUGCAAAAACAGAAGAGGAAUUAUUUUCAAUCUUAAAUUUAUAGCUGUUGUUACUAGGGUAAUCCAAGAUACCUAUACCUAUCCUAUCACCAUUGAUGGAGGCAUCAGUGGAAAGAAUGUUCCACCCA